AACGACGACGACGACGACGACGACGACGACGAUCACGACGCUGCCGCGGCCUUCGAGUCGUUGUCGUCGGCCUCCACCACCGCCGGCCACGACGACGUCGUCGAUGUCGAGGUCGAUGUAGACGUCGAUGUCGACGUCGAUGUCGAGGUCGAUGUAGACGUCGACGUCGAUGUCGACGCACCUACCGGCGUCGUCGACCUCACACGCACCACCGCGGCACGCCACGUCCGCUCAUCUCACCGCCAUUCUCGCGCCCGAGUCCGAUGGAUCCCCGUGGAUCUCGCGAUCCUGCACCCCCCGGGAGCUUCUCCGUCGUCACCUCUGCGCUCGACCUUGGCUCCCGAGUCACGACGACGGCGGCAAGGGAAAAACAGUCACGGACGAGAGACGAGGAAGAGCGUGCCGAUCAGAGGCUGUGUCAGAUACCAGGUAGAACCACGCGGUUCGUCGGCCCGGUACCAGGCCUCAUGAAUGGAAUAGGGUUCGCCAGGAUCGAUGGAGAGGGCGUGCUUUCAGGCAAGGAUUGGUAUAGUCGUGGCGUUUCCAACCCCACCUGAGCGAGGGUGCAGCGAGCACUACACGUGCUCGAUUACGUCACGAGGACGAGCCAUUCAGGUAUCGUCCGCGGAAAGAGCAGAAAAAUAUCGCGCAGGACUCGCCGCGCCGUUCCUCCCCGCGGGAUGUUUCACCCUCGCGGUCCCGGCGACGGCGGACGACAGGAGGGACGAUCUCCGCGCGGAUUACCGGCUCGCAAGAGUCCCGGGAGGUUGUAAGGGCGGGUUUCAGUGCGAUCCUCGGCCGUGCGUGCCGCAGGGGAAGUCCGACGGGAUCCUCAGCAGGAGCUGGACGAGGAGAAGUGCAGGAUGAGAGAAGAAGCGUGAGUCUGUGCUCCUUGCGUUCACUGCGGGCUUCCAUGUGCCAACUUUUCAAAAUUCAUAAGGCACGCGGUGAAUGCCAAGAGCGGACCAAAUACAACGAUCCCCCGCGUUAACUCGCUGAGGAUCUCUCUCUGUCUCUCUGUCUACGUCUCGGUGUGACGUCCUUUCAGGAACCUCGAGCCUCGCGUUCGACCUUCCUCCGUUGCGCAAGGUCAGUAUCGAAGGUGGACGAUGCCGUGCUCGCCCCGUACACGCUCGCGUGCUUUCUCGUAUUUUUUAAGUUGCUGGGGAAUGCAAAUUUGGUUGCAACAAACGUUUUUGUAUCGUACACACUUCCACCCGCCUGAACACACACACACACACACACACACACGCGCGCUCUUUUUUUGGUCGUACAGUUAAAUUAAUUUAUUAAAAGCAUUCCCUCCCACGCUUGACUUUACUUGCGCAUUUAAACAAAUAUUUGCAUAAGUGAAAUGCUUGUUAUUAUAGCUCGUACGUUUAUAUUCACUUGUUUUAAAUAACGAUUAAGCGGAAAAUCAUUACCCCGCGCGCGUAAUUGGAUGAACAUGAACAAAAGCUCCACGUUCUUGUAUCCGGAACAUUUUUCACGUCUACACACAUAUGAAUACAUACAUAUGCAUUGAUGUUGUUUUUUUUUUAACGUCGCUCACUCACAUAAUAUCUCGCGUUUGCAUUUAAUCUGAAUUCUAUUCUGAAGCAACAUUCUGCGACGCUUGCCGAGCGUCGGAUACUAAUUCAAGCGCGAGUCUGCUGCGAUUUUCUUGAUUCAAGCGUUGCAUCGGACAUCAGAGAGCGAAGAGAGAAAGGGAACGGCGAAGUAGAUCGCUAAUGGUGGCCGAGCUCGUUCCCCGACGGACGGGGCUUGUCGAGAUCGGCUUUAAAGACGAAGAGCCCCUAAAUGGAAAUCGGGGAAUUCCCGGGACGUAGGACGAAAACGGCCGGUUGUAUCGACCGAGACGAAAGGGCGGCGAAGGGAGAUGACUGGAUGGUGGGGAUGCUGCGCGGUUAAAGGGUGGACGGACGUUGCCUGGCAACCCGCUCCUUCCCGCAGCAUCCCUCCUGGACCAUCACCGCUGCCUCCGCUACCGCCACCACCGCCACCACCAUCACCGCCGCCACCGCCGCCGCCGCCGCCAUCCACGAUUUCCACGAUCAUUGUUGUCGUUGUUCGACGUUGCGCGUCCGCCAUUAUUCAGGAUCGAUAUCUUUGCCGAGAAACAGAGAGAGAGAGAGAGAGAGAGAGAGAGAGAGAGAGAGAGAG